AUUGAACGCUGGCGGCAUGCCUAACACAUGCAAGUCGAACGGCAGCAUGACCUAGCUUGCUAGGUUGAUGGCGAGUGGCGAACGGGUGAGUAACGCGUAGGAAUAUACCUUAAAGUGGGGGACAACUUGGGGAAACUCAAGCUAAUACCGCGUAAUCUCUUAGGAGGAAAGCUGGGGGACUCUUCGGAGCCUGGCGCUUUAAGAAUAGCCUGCGUCUGAUUAGCUAGUUGGUAGGGUAAAGGCCUACCAAGGCGACGAUCGGUAGCUGGUCUGAGAGGAUGGUCAGCCACACUGGGACUGAGACACGGCCCAGACUCCUACGGGAGGCUG
rnacentral:rRNA from 1 species